GAAAUGCGAUAAGUAAUGUGAAUUGCAGAAUUCAGUGAAUCAUCGAAUCUUUGAACGCACAUUGCGCCCCUUGGUAUUCCGAGGGGCAUGCCUGUUCGAGCGUCAUUAUAACCCCUCAAGCUCAGCUUGGUGUUGGGGCCUGCUGCACUGGCAGCCCUUAAAAUCAGUGGCGGCGCCAUCUGGCUCUAAGCGUAGUAAUUCUUCUCGCUAUGGAGUCCUGGUGGAUGCUUGCCAUCAACCCCCAAUUUUUCUAUGGUUGACCUCGGAUCAGGUAGGGAUACCCGCUGAACUUAA
rnacentral:misc_RNA from 1 species